rnacentral:rRNA from 1 species
CGAACGGUAACAGGGAGCUUGCUCCGCUGACGAGUGGCGAACGGGUGAGUAAUGUAUCGGAACGUACCAUUCAGUGGGGGAUAACGUAGCGAAAGUUACGCUAAUACCGCAUAUUCUGUGCGCAGGAAAGCAGGGGAUCGCAAGACCUUGCGCUGAUUGAGCGGCCGAUAUCAGAUUAGCUAGUUGGUGAGGUAAAAGCUCACCAAGGCGACGAUCUGUAGCGGGUCUGAGAGGAUGAUCCGCCACACUGGAACUGAGACACGGUCCAGACUCCUACGGGAGGCAGCAGUGGGGAAUUUUGGACAAAGGGGGCAACCCUGAUCCAGCCAUGCCGCGUGAGUGAAGAAGGCCUUCGGGUUGUAAAGCUCUUUCAGCCGGGAAGAAAAUGCAUGGGUUAAUACCCUGUGCAGAUGACGGUACCGGAAUAAGAAGCACCGGCUAACUACGUGCCAGCAGCCGCGGUAAUACGUAGGGUGCGAGCGUUAAUCGGAAUACUGGGCGUAAAGCGUGCGCAGGCGGUUUUGUAAGACAGGCGUGAAAUCCCCGGGCUUAACCUGGGAACUGCGUUUGUGACUGCAAGGCUAGAGUACGGCAGAGGGGGGUGGAAUUCCACGUGUAGCAGUGAAAUGCGUAGAGAUGUGGAGGAACACCAAUGGCGAAGGCAGCCCCCUGGGUCGAUACUGACGCUCAUGCACGAAAGCGUGGGUAGCAAACAGGAUUAGAUACCCUGGUAGUCCACGCCCUAAACGAUGUCAACUAGGUGUUGGGAGGGUAAAACCUUUUAGUACCGUAGCUAACGCGAGAAGUUGACCGCCUGGGGAGUACGGCCGCAAGGUUAAAACUCAAAGGAAUUGACGGGGACCCGCACAAGCGGUGGAUGAUGUGGAUUAAUUCGAUGCAACGCGAAGAACCUUACCUGGCCUUGACAUGCAGAUGGUAGAAGCCUGAAAGGGUGACGACCCCGCAAGGGGAGUCUGCACAGGUGCUGCAUGGCUGUCGUCAGCUCGUGUCGUGAGAUGUUGGGUUAAGUCCCGCAACGAGCGCAACCCCUGUGUCCUGUUGCCACCGGCCUUCGGGCCGAGCACUCUGGACAGACUGCCUCGCUUAAACGAGGAGGAAGGUGGGGAUGACGUCAAGUCAGUAUGGCCCUUACGGCCAGGGCUGCACACGUACUACAAUGCCCGACACAAUGGGAAGCAAUACGGCAACGUGGCGCAAAUCCCCUAAAAUCGGGCUCAGUUCAGAUUGUCGUCUGCAACUCGACGACAUGAAGCUGGAAUCGCUAGUAACGGCGCACCAGCUACGGCGCCGUGAAUACGUUCCCAGGCCUUGUACACACUGCCCGUCACAUCAUGAAAGCCGGUUAUACCCGAAGUCGCGCCUUAUAACGUGCCGAAGGUAUGGCUGGUGAUUGGGAUGAAGUCGUAACAAGGUAGCCGUAGGGGA